rnacentral:lncRNA from 1 species
ACCUCUACCCACUGGAUACCAGCAGAACAUCCCCUCCCCGUGCAAGAGUGUGACAAUUAAAAAAUGUCUGUAGGAAUUGUCAAAUGUACCCUGGGUGGCAAAAUCGCCCCCAUGAAGAACCAUUGGGGGCAAAAUCACCAGCACUGAGGACCACUGCUCUGGCCCACGAGACAGCUUUUCCAGGUGCCGUGUUUUGGAGUAGUGUGUCUGGUACCUGUCACCUUUAACCAACAAUUACUGAGCACCUACUGGGUGCCAGAUACUCCGC